rnacentral:rRNA from 1 species
GUGCCAGCAGCCGCGGUAAUACGUAGGGUGCGAGCGUUAAUCGGAAUUACUGGGCGUAAAGCGUGCGCAGGCGGUUUGACAAGUCAGAUGUGAAAGCCCCGGGCUCAACCUGGGAACUGCGUUUGAAACUGUCAGGCUAGAGUGUGUCAGAGGGAGGUAGAAUUCCACGUGUAGCAGUGAAAUGCGUAGAGAUGUGGAGGAAUACCGAUGGCGAAGGCAGCCUCCUGGGAUAACACUGACGCUCAUGCACGAAAGCGUGGGGAGCAAACAGGAUUAGAAACCCCCGUAGUCC